rnacentral:rRNA from 1 species
GGGUUGUGAGGUUAAGCGACUAAGCGUACACGGUGGAUGCCCUGGCAGUCAGAGGCGAUGAAGGACGUGCUAAUCUGCGAUAAGCGCCGGUAAGGUGAUAUGAACCGUUAUAACCGGCGAUUUCCGAAUGGGGAAACCCAGUGUGACUCGUCACACUAUCAUUAACUGAAUCCAUAGGUUA